rnacentral:rRNA from 1 species
UGAGGAAUUUUGCGCAAUGGCCGCAAGGCUGACGCAGCAACGCCGCGUGGGUGAAGAAGGCCUUCGGGUCGUAAAGCCCUGUCAGGUGGGAAGAACGACCGGGAAGUGAACAGCUUUCCGGUGUGACGGUACCACCAGAGGAAGCACCGGCUAACUCCGUGCCAGCAGCCGCGGUAAUACGUAGGGGGCAAGCGUUGUCCGGAUUUACUGGGUGUAAGGGCGCGCAGGCGGGAUAAAAAGUCAGUGGUGAAAUCCUACAGCUUAACUGUAGAACUGCCUUUGAUACUUUUAUUCUUGAGUUCGGGAGAGAGAGACGGAAUUCCAGGUGUAGUGGUGAAAUACGUAGAUAUCUGGAAGAACACCAGUUGCGAAGGCGGUCUCUUGGUCCGACACUGACGCUGAGGCGCGAAAGCGUGGGGAGCAAACA